rnacentral:lncRNA from 1 species
GGGAUUACAGGCUUGAGCCACCGUACCCAGCUGGAAUCUCAUGUUUAAUAUUCCAGACCUGUCACAAACACUAAGAGGUGUAGCCUCUUAGACUGUACAAGGCUAACGGCAGCCAGAGAGCUCUCACUGGAAGUGAAUUAAUCUCUAGGAUGGCCUAGAGGGAUGAGGGGACCCACAGAGCUCAAUGAUUUGGUGAAAAACUGAGGCUGGAGGCUGAUGGGAAUUUAUGCCCCCAUCCCACACAUAUGUAAUAAAGACCCACUUUGUGCCAGGCACUGUUUUAGGCCGUGAGGCACAGUAGUGAAAAAACGAGAUCAAAUCUCAGCCCUUGUUGUGCCGACACUGAUGUGGGAGGAUUCAAACUACAAACAAGAAAAAUACAGGCGUGGGCCACCGCACCUGGCCUACAGUAUGCUUCAUAGAAAUAUGAAAAGAAUGAGAGCAAGGUUGAGAUAGAAAGUAACAGGGCAUCCCUCCUGAGUAAAACAAUCCUGCCCCCUCACGCUCUCGUCUACCCUCCCGUGGGUCUCCCUGCUUCUGUCGUCUGCCAGAAACUGGCUGAGCCAAGUGCACUUGCAGACGCCAUCUGUUCUCCCUGGGAGUGGGGCCGGUGCCAGCGCCAGCAUCUGGACUCUUGGCAAGGAGCCCUGGAGCCCUGGAGCGAGGGAACUCCGGCCCCACAAAGGCCAGGGAAUCCUCCAGUCUGGUGAGACGGAGGGCUUCUGGGAAGGGAGGCCUAUACAAGGCUCCAUGAAGGAGGUGGAAGCUUGCAAGACGAUGAUAGUCUUGUAAUCAGUCCGAUGGAGAUGGAUGUAAAUAAUAAUAUUAAUAAACACCAUCAAAUGUGUUCAGAGUG